AGUAAUGGCAGGUCAGCAUACUGCCGUGAAUACGUUCCCGGGCCUUGUACACACCGCCCGUCACACCAUGAGAGUUGGGAAUACCCGAAGCCUGUGAGCUAACGUAAGAGGCAGCAGUCGAAGGUAGAAUCAAUGAUUGGGGUGAAGUCGUAACAAGGUAAC
rnacentral:rRNA from 1 species